GGCCGGUGCUGCCCAGCCCCGUAAGGUGAGGCCAGGGUGAGGCUCAGGUCUGCGAGUGGGUGUCCGCGUGCAGAGGAGAGGCUGCUGAGGCCGGGAGUGGAGGCGGGCAGGAGGUGGAGGAGGUUUGAGGGGCGAGCCGAGGCCCAGAGUUGAAGUGAGGCUGCUUCCCCAGCUGGGCCUCCUCCACCCCCGGGGACGGGAGGCUGCGAGGCAGGGCGCUGCUGGAAGGGGAGGUCUGGGGGCACGUGGUGGUGACCGGGUGUGGCGUCUGGUUGGAGGAGUCAAGCCCCAGGGUGGCUGGGGGUGCCCCUGGGCCACGGCCCACGCCCUGCGGGCAGGCCACCACUGCCACGUGCUGGCCCAAGGGGGACGUGCAGGCCCGUGUGCACCUCCGUCGCACAUCUGCAUGCCAUCCUCCCACCCCGAAGAACGACCUGUUCGUCUGACCCCAGGAUCGAGGGAGGGGAGGCCAGGAGACAGGGCCCCGGAACUCACACUGCCUGGUGUCUGCCUGAAGCCGGGGCCUUCCAGCCGCUGGCCCAGAGCCCUCUCCCGGGUGCAGGCCUCCACACCUGCAGGGCAUGUGUGACAGGGCUGCCCACUCCCCAGAGAGGACGUGGCAUCUGCUGGUCACCCAGCCCACACCGUGCCCAUUCCUGCCCCUCUCUGAGCCACAGACUUGGGACCACAGGUAACCUUCCUGGCAGGGCUGGGUGGGCCCCGGUGACGUGCCACUCACUGCCUCAGGCUCCUCCAAGAAUGGGGGACAGGCCUGAGGGCCUGGCCCCCACCUCCCCCCUGCCAGGGCCCUCGGGAAUGGGCCACAUCCUGAGCCAGCCUGCUCUGUGCUGCCCUAGCUGGAGCCUUAGCACCUUGGUCCCAGGUGCCCUGAGCCGGCAGUGGGAACCCGGGGGUGGGGGUCAGGGGUCAGGCAGAAGGAGGGCUGGGAUGAUGGCAGCGCCCCUCUGCAUCCACCUCCCAAAAACUGUCUACAGUGGAUGGCAUCUAUGCAGUCAUUCAAAGAGCUCACAGCCUCAGCCCUUCCUACCCUGUGCCCCGCUGCCACUGGUCACUUAAAGGUCACACCAGCUCGCUCAGCCUCAGGCCGUGUGUGCCCUGGGCCCGGGCCCACACACCUGCCUCUUCCCAGCUGCUCCCCACGUGCCCCCGUGUGGCCCCGCAGUGGUUUCUGGUUUGGCUAGGCAGGCAGCGGACCGAGGGCCACCCACUGCCGCCAAGGCCACCUGUGGGCAGGGGGAGGGUCUCUCUGAGGGAGGGGCAGGUGCUGGGCGGCCCCUGAGAAUGAAGGUCUGCUGACACCUUCGCCUCAAGGAGCCCAGCCUGAGCCCCCCGCUGCGCCCUUCCCACUGGCAGCCCCAUAAACGCUGCUCCCACCAGCUCGGCACCAUAUGGCAAGUUCCAGACCGCACCUCCCUCCGUCUCACCGUCCCAGGGCCGGUGCCCCGUCCCCCAUCCACCUCUUGCUCUCCCCGCAGCCCCUCUGCUGUCCUCUACAUCCUGCCUCUCCGUCCGCUUCUCAGUAGGCUGGAAAAGUGGCGGAGUGAGGGCUGGGCUGGGCUGGGCCCGGGGGUGGGGACCUCUCGUCACUGGCCAGCUCCGGGCCAGGUGCCCACUCCUGCGUUGAGUGGGGCCCCGGGAGGGGUGUAGGUGGACCCGUCACCCCUUGCAAGGUUGGGGAUCGCCCUACGGAUUGUCCAGCAGGCGUGCUGAGAGCACGGCUCCCGGGGUCACAGCAGGACAGACUCAACAGACUCACCGAGAGCGUGGCAGGGUACACAGGGAUCUAUGGUUGCGGGUCUCCCCGCGCGGCCGUGACCACGUCGGGAGAAGCCGGGGCCUUGCCCCCAUCCAGCACUGGCUGAGUCAGGGCUUGGUUGCCCCCCAGCCCCAUAGCUGCGGCCACACGGCUGCCCAGGCCAGUCCACCUGGCUUCCAGGCCACAACGAGGGUUCAACAGAGACCAUGGCCCCCACACCCCGAGGACACCCCGUUCCCUGAAUAAUAAAGGCUACCGUCAAAGC